rnacentral:rRNA from 1 species
UGGGGAAUUUUGGACAAUGGGCGAAAGCCUGAUCCAGCCAUGCCGCGUGCAGGAUGAAGGCCUUCGGGUUGUAAACUGCUUUUGUACGGAACGAAAAGACUCUGGUUAAUACCUGGGGUCCAUGACGGUACCGUAAGAAUAAGCACCGGCUAACUACGUGCCAGCAGCCGCGGUAAUACGUAGGGUGCAAGCGUUAAUCGGAAUUACUGGGCGUAAAGCGUGCGCAGGCGGUUAUAUAAGACAGAUGUGAAAUCCCCGGGCUCAACCUGGGAACUGCAUUUGUGACUGUAUAGCUAGAGUACGGCAGAGGGGGGAUGGAAUUCCGCGUGUAGCAGUGAAAUGCGUAGAUAUGCGGAGGAACACCGAUGGCGAAGGCAAUCCCCUGGGCCUGUACUGACGCUCAUGCACGAAAGCGUGGGGAGCAAACAGGAUUAGAUACCCUGGUAGUCCACGCCCUAAACGAUGUCAACUGGUUGUUGGGUCUUCACUGACUCAGUAACGAAGCUAACGCGUGAAGUUGACCGCCUGGGGAGUA